rnacentral:rRNA from 1 species
GUGGGGAAUUUUGGACAAUGGGCGCAAGCCUGAUCCAGCAAUGCCGCGUGCAGGAAGAAGGCCUUCGGGUUGUAAACUGCUUUUGUACGGAACGAAACGGUCCUGGUUAAUACCCGGGGCUAAUGACGGUACCGUAAGAAUAAGCACCGGCUAACUACGUGCCAGCAGCCGCGGUAAUACGUAGGGUGCAAGCGUUAAUCGGAAUUACUGGGCGUAAAGCGUGCGCAGGCGGUGCUGUAAGACAGGCGUGAAAUCCCCGGGCUUAACCUGGGAAGUGCGCUUGUGGCUGCAGUGCUGGAGUGCGGCAGAGGGGGAUGGAAUUCCGCGUGUAGCAGUGAAAUGCGUAGAUAUGCGGAGGAACACCGAUGGCGAAGGCAAUCCCCUGGGCCUGCACUGACGCUCAUGCACGAAAGCGUGGGGAGCAAACAGGAUUAGAAACCCCUGUAGUCC